GAUGGGAGCUUGCUCCCUGAUGUUAGCGGCGGACGGGUGAGUAACACGUGGGUAACCUGCCUGUAAGACUGGGAUAACUCCGGGAAACCGGGGCUAAUACCGGAUGGUUGUUUGAACCGCAUGGUUCAAACAUAAAAGGUGGCUUCGGCUACCACUUACAGAUGGACCCGCGGCGCAUUAGCUAGUUGGUGAGGUAACGGCUCACCAAGGCAACGAUGCGUAGCCGACCUGAGAGGGUGAUCGGCCACACUGGGACUGAGACACGGCCCAGACUCCUACGGGAGGCAGCAGUAGGGAAUCUUCCGCAAUGGACGAAAGUCUGACGGAGCAACGCCGCGUGAGUGAUGAAGGUUUUCGGAUCGUAAAGCUCUGUUGUUAGGGAAGAACAAGUACCGUUCGAAUAGGGCGGUACCUUGACGGUACCUAACCAGAAAGCCACGGCUAACUACGUGCCAGCAGCCGCGGUAAUACGUAGGUGGCAAGCGUUGUCCGGAAUUAUUGGGCGUAAAGGGCUCGCAGGCGGUUUCUUAAGUCUGAUGUGAAAGCCCCCGGCUCAACCGGGGAGGGUCAUUGGAAACUGGGGAACUUGAGUGCAGAAGAGGAGAGUGGAAUUCCACGUGUAGCGGUGAAAUGCGUAGAGAUGUGGAGGAACACCAGUGGCGAAGGCGACUCUCUGGUCUGUAACUGACGCUGAGGAGCGAAAGCGUGGGGAGCGAACAGGAUUAGAUACCCUGGUAGUCCACGCCGUAAACGAUGAGUGCUAAGUGUUAGGGGGUUUCCGCCCCUUAGUGCUGCAGCUAACGCAUUAAGCACUCCGCCUGGGGAGUACGGUCGCAAGACUGAAACUCAAAGGAAUUGACG
rnacentral:rRNA from 1 species